ensembl:lncRNA
UAGUGGUGGAGCCAGUACCUCCACACAUGGAGAUGUAUCCAUUCAGUCAAGUAGGCCUACUCCGCGCCCUUGCUGUCUCUGCCUGGCCGGUUCCCCUCUCUCCACUGGGAUUCUCUGCCUCUAUCCCUAUUACAGGGGCUGAGUCGCUGGCUUACUGGUGCUCUUCCAUGCCGUCCCUAGGAGGGGUGCGUCACUUAAGUGGGUUGAGUCACUGACGUGGUCUUCCUGUCUGGGUUGGCGCCUCCCCCCUUGAGUUGUGUCGCGGCAGAGAUCUUUGUGGGCUAUACUCGGCCUUGUCUCAGGAUGGUAAGUUGGUGGUUGAAGAUAUCCCUCUAGUGGUGUGGGGGCUGUGCUUUGGCAAAGUGGGUGGGGUUAUAUCCGGCCAUGUCCGGGGGUAUCUUCGGAUGGGGCCACAGUGUCUCCUGACCCGUCCUGUCUCAGCCUCCAGUAUUUCUGCUGCAGUAGUUUGUGUCGGGGGGUUAGGGUCAGUCUGUUAUAUCUGGGGUAUUUCUCCUGUCUUUUCCGGUGUCCUGUGUGAAUGUAAGUAUGCUCUCUCUAAUUCUCUUCUUUCUUUCUUUCUCUCUCUCGGGGGACCUGAGCCCUAAGACCAUGCCUCAGGACUACCUGGCAUGAUGACUCCUUGCUGUCCCCAGUCCACCUGGCUGUGCUGCUGCUCCAGCCUGCGGCUAUGUAACCCUGACCUGUUCCCCCGGACGUGCUACCUGUCCCAGACCUGCUGUUUUCAACUCUCUUAGAGCCAGCAGGAGCGGUAGAAAUACUCUCAAUGAUCAGCUAUGAAAAGCCAACUGACAUUUACUCCUGAGGUGCUGACCUGUUGCACCCUCGACAACUACUGUGAUUAUUAUUAUUAUUUGACCAUGCUGGUCAUUUAUGAACAUUUGAACAUCUUGGCCAUGUUCCGUUAUAAUCUCCACCCAGCACAGCCAGAAGAGGACUGACCACCCCUCAUAGCCUGGUUCCUCUCUAGGUUUCUUCCUAGGUUUUGGGCAUUCUAGGGAGUUUUUCCUAGCCACCGUGCUUCUACCCCUACAUUGCUUGCUAUUUGGGGUUUUAGUCUGGGUUUCUGUACAGCACUUUGAGAUUUCAGCUGAUCUAAGAAGGGCUAUAUAAAUUGAUUUGAUGUGGUUCUCCGCGACCCACAGCAACACAGUCUUCUAUGGACCAAUUUAUGCCAAAGUCUGUCUGUCUAGAAAAACAAGGUCAAAUUGAUAUUGCAUUGGCUAAAAUGAUUGCCACCGAUUUCCAGCCGUUUUUGAUUGUGGAGGACAGAGGUUUUAGAAAUUAUAGCAACAGUGUAAAUCCAAUGUACACAUUUCCAAGCAGGAAAACCCUUUUAAAAUAACUUAUUCCACGACUGUACGAGAGCAUAUAGGCUUCAGCGCGGGAAAGAGUCCAAAAAGCUACUGCAGUUUGCCUUACCGCUGACUGCUGGACAUCAAGGGUAACCACUUCUUACAUGUCGGUUACAUGUCACUUCAUUGAAGAUAUUUCGAUGUCUAGCUGUCUUCUGGACUACUUUGAGUUCAGCGAGAGACACACCUCAGAGAACUUGGCAGAGGAACUGUUGAGAGUGGCCAGAGAAUGGCAAGUAGAUGGAAAAGUGGUCUGUUGUGUUAGCGACAAUGCAGCAAACAUAAUCAAAGCCAUGAAAAUUUUAAAAUGGACCCAUCAUCCAUGUCUUCCCCACACAAUCAACCUGAUUGUAAGAGAUGCUCUGAAGGUGAUUAAGUCCACUGUGGACAAAGUGAAAGCAGCUGUGGAAAACUUCCACAGGAGCACAGUAGGUGCUGAAAAAUGAAAAUGUACACAAUGCCAGAUGGAGAUGCCUGAGUUGAGGCCUAAACAAGACUGCACUACAAGGUGGAAUUCAACAUUUUAUAUGUUGAAGCGGUUUCUUGAGUCAAAUGAUGCCAUAAUCUCUACCCUGGCCAUUGUCAAUGCACCUGUUGAUACUCUGACCCAAGAGGAAUGGGAGGUGGUGGAGGAGGUGUACAGAGUCCUGGAACCCUUUGAGCAGGUCACUGUGGAGAUCAUUGGAGAGAGCUAUGUGACAGCCUCAAAUGAUACUCUGUGUAAGGGUCUGCAGUGAAUCACAGCCAGCCACCAGAGAGAAGCAAAUGUAACCACAGGACAUGUGACAGAGUUGAUGGACACCCUAUGUUCAUCAAUGGAAUAUAAUCCUGUGAUAUCAGAAACCGCUGCACUUGACCCCAGAUUUAAGAAGUUAGCCUUUAGUGAUGCCAGAGCGAUUGAGGCUCUUCAAAGAAUAACCUCAGCUGCAGGGAGGGACAGCCCCAGCAGUCAGCUGGCUCAGGCACCAGGGCAACAGGAAGAAGAGGGAUCAGAGGGAGGAACAGCCCCAGCAGUCAGCUGGCUCAGGCACCAAGGCAACAGGAAGAAGAGGGAUCAGAUGGAGCAGAAGCACCAGCAGUUGUGCCACAAACGUCUGCUGUUUGGAUGCUGAACAAAUAUGAAAACGGAACAAAUAAUUACAGAGAGAAGAAACCGCAUCAGUGAGGCAGCUUGCAUUUCUAAAUGCAAAUCUCUCAUAAAAGCAAAAUAUGGUCAGUUUUGCUGUGUGCUGCUGGUUAUAACAUGGCGAUAAACUGGUUCCACUUUUCUCUCUCUCUUUAAAUGGGAUGCUGCAGUUUUGUACAUUGUUAUUUAUUUUUCUUUGAUAUGGUGCAAUAUUCUAUUAUGAUGUUCAGAUUGUAUUCGUUUUGAAUGGUUAGAUUUAUAUGCACUUUGUUUAUAUACAUUAAAGUUAUACUUUAAAUGCGAA